AAUGUAUCUGAGGCUUUAUGCCGUUAUAGCCCAAUGUGUUAUGUGGGCAGCUGUUGUCUUCCUGUGUGUGUCUCUCUCCUUUCCCCCCAUUGUGUAUGUGUGUGUGUAUGUGUGAAAGGCCGGUCGAUCUACCUCUCUGCACAGCUGCUGGCUAUUCCACUUACCAACUCUACAGUAUUUAUUCCUGGGCGAAGCUCACCCUCGGUGCCAGAUCGAUGCACCUACCAGUGUGACCUACGCCUCCAGACCUGUUUCCGUGGCUCAUCGCGCUCAGGCCUUCCUACGUUCCCGCUUGGAUUCCAGAAAGAAAGUUUGGAUCCAUCACUGCCUGCCCUCCUCGGCCCCUAUCCAGCUCGGAGUCAGCCUACCUUGUGUUUUCUGUCCUUGGCUGCUAAAGAAACUACAGUGUUGGAAACCAAGAACUGCUGGUCUGGACCGACCAUAAAAACUUAUGGCAUUCAUCCAAUCCACCAAAAGA